rnacentral:rRNA from 1 species
UACGUAGGGUGCGAGCGUUGUCCGGAAUUAUUGGGCGUAAAGAGCUUGUAGGCGGUUUGUCGCGUCUGCUGUGAAAUUUCGGGGCUCAACCCCGAACUUGCAGUGGGUACGGGCAGACUAGAGUGUGGUAGGGGAGACUGGAAUUCCUGGUGUAGCGGUGAAAUGCGCAGAUAUCAGGAAGAACACCGGUGGCGAAGGCGGGUCUCUGGGCAGUAACUGACGCUGAGGAGCGAAAGCGUGGGGAGCGAACAGG